UUUUCCUUUUCACGUGUCUGUUGUAAACAGAAAUGCGGCGAGGGAGGGGGAAGGUUGUUCUAACUUCCGGCCACAGCAGUAGCUAAACUUUAAGUGGGGUCUUUGCGGUGUGGACUGAGACUCACGGAGUAUGGCGUGGGUACAUGGGGGUUUAUAGCCAGGGAGCAGUUUGGGGUCACUGGGUAGAAGAGAACUAGGAAGAAACAUGAAGUGGCUAAACUUCCCUAAUGGGAUUCUUGCACAAGACACAUUAGGGAAAUCAGGCAGCCUUGGGGGUGGAGGGGUGGUGAAGGAGGUGGGCAGACUCAGAUAACCAGAGAGAUCACACCAAUGGUGAGGCAGUUGGGCUACUAGGCUUGGUGUCACUGUGAUAAUAUUCCUGACACAAAUAACCGAAGGGGAGAAGGCUUUGUUUCGGUUUAAUGUUUCUGAGUCUACAGUCCAUGGUCGAUUGAUCCACGUGCUCAGGCAGAAUAUUAUGGCAACCAGAGUGUGUGGGGGCAGAAUUUCUUCACCUCAUUGUGAACAGGAAAGAGAAAGCAAAAGAUAGAGAGAGGGGAGGAAGGGGCUAAGGAAGGGAAAGAAACAGGAACAGGAGGAGGAGGAGGUGGGGGGAGGAGUCAGGCACAUGAUGCCCCCAGCCUUGGCUCAAGGACCCCCAGAGAACUGCUUCUUCCAGGCAGGAGGACCAGCCUGGACCUGUGGGACUGACAGCCUAAGAAAGACCCUUGUCCUUCAAUUCCAGCACUCGGGAGGCAGAGACAGGAGGAUCUCUGAGUUCGAGGCCAGCCUGGUCUGCAGAGAGUUCCAGGACAGCCAGGGCUACACAGAGAAACUCUGUCUUGGAAAACCAAACCAAACGAAACCAAAGACUCUUUUCCUCUAUUGGGUUGCCUUGUCCAGCAUUGAUAGGAGGGCUUCUGCCUUGUCUUGUUCUAUCUUGUUUUAUCCUGUUUGUUGUCUCUUGGAGGCCUGCUCUUUUCUGAAGGGAAAUGGGGAUGGGGAGUGGAUCUGGGGAGGUGGGAUCUGGGAGGGGAGGGAGGAGAAACUGCAGUUGGGGAUGCACUAUAUGAGAAAAGAAUCUAUUUUCAAUAAAAAAGAAAAGAAAGCUAAAUAUCCCCUCCCCCAUUCGUGUGUGUGUGUGUGUGUGUGUGUGUGUGUGUGUGUGUGUGUGUGUGUGUAUUAGUUUCUUCUGUUUUGUUUGUUUGAGACAGGGUCUUGUUAUAUAAGUCAGGCUGGCCAAGAGGCCAACCUGUUUCAGCCUGUCAAGUGCUGUGACUGCUGGUGUGUGUGGUCACACCUGCCUCCCUUUAUGUCUUUAAUGGAGUAUUUAAACCAAGAAAAUGAAACUGGUCUGGUAUUUCAAGGGUGGAAAAUUCUCCAUCUUUUGAUCUUAUGUCAGAUUGCAGGAAAUAAAAAAAAAAGAAGAAGAAGAAGAUGGUGUUUUGUAAGCAAUGUAGGCCAGGUCAUGGUUUGUAGUGGUCAAACUUCAGAGUAUGUCAUGUCCUUCCAAACUCUAACCUCUGUUUUUCUCCUAAAAUAAAAGUGAUACCAGAUAGACUAA